rnacentral:sRNA from 1 species
GACCACUCCCACAGGAGUUAAGGCCAUACGGACAGCCGGGUCCACUGCCGA